rnacentral:lncRNA from 1 species
UUCUGGCCACCCCACAAGCAAAACCUUCCACCAGGACCCAAACCAGGGCUGAUCAUAAGAAACCUAAACCUCAUUGGCCAUCUCCCCCACCGGUCCCUCCACAAAGUGUCCCAAAAAUAUGGACAAAUAAUGCAAGCUUCAAUUCGGGUCUAUCCCAAUGGUAGUGGCCUUGUCUUCAGAAAUGGCAAGGCAGUUCUUAAAGACAAAUUAUCACCUCUUUGCCUCUAGGCCUCAGACUGCUGCUGGCAAGUACACUGCUUAUAACUAUUCCAACAUCAUCUGGGCACCUUUCGGUCCAUAUUGGCGUCAGGAGAGUAAAAUCUACCACACAGAGCUGUUCAACUGGAAAAAGCUCGAGUCUUAUGAAUAUAUUGGGGUCGAAGGAAGGUGGGCUUUCAUCUCCCACCUCUAUGCGUUGUCAGGAAAGCCAGUCAUGCUUAAAGACCAUCUCUCUCGCGUUACUCUCGGCGUUAUAAGCAGAAUUGUACUGCGGGAGAAGUAUUCAAUGAGUCUGAAUCCGGGAGGUCAAUAGUGACGGUGGAAGAGUUCCAAGAGAUGCUGGAUGGGUUGUUCUUGCUUAAUGGUGUGUUGAAUAUUAGGGAUUGGAUACCGCGGAUUGCAUUCUUGGACUUGCAGGGGUAUGUGAAGAGGAUGAAGGCUUUGCGCCAUAAAUUUGAUAGGUUUUAUGAUCAUGUGCUUGAGAAACACAGGGCCAGUUGAGAAGCAGAGGACUUUGUGGCUAAGGAUAUGGUGGAUAUGCUUCUGAGAUUGGUCGAUGAUCCUGAUCUUGAGGUUAAGCUCGGUACUGAUGGGGUCAAAGGGCUUACCCUGGUUAAUGUUAUAUGAGUUAGGAACAUAUCCAGCCAUUCAAAUUAGGCCUAUUCUAUUGAAAUCUCAUGAUAAUUUUGCUUGUUUGGUUGUUUCAUGGUCAGGACCUGAUUGCUGGUGGUACAGAUAGCUCAGCUACUACUAUGGAAUGGGCGAUGUCUGAGAUCUUGAGGUAGCCAAGCACAGCUAAUAAGGCAACUGAAGAGCUGGAUAGAGUCACAGGGAGAGAUAGAUGGGGGGAAGAGAAAGACAUCCCCCAACUUCCUUAAUAUAGAUGCAAUUGUGAAGGAGACAAUGAGGCUACACCCUGUCACUAGCUGUCCUGCUAGCACCUCACCUGGCUCUUCAUGAUUGCAAUGUAGCUGGCUGUGAUAUUCGCAGAGGAACCCAAGUCCUUGUAAACGCAUGGAGCAUAGGACCCCAACAUAUGGGAUGCACCGGAGGAAUUUCGACCAGAGAGGUUCCUAGGGAAGGCAAUUGAUGUGAAGGGGCAAAACUUGAGCUGCUGCCAUUUGGUUCAAGGCGGAGGAUGUGUGCUGGAUACAGGCUUGGCCUAAAGAUGAUUCGAUCAAGCUUGACUAACAUGCUGCAUGGAUUCCACUGGAAAUUGCCUUGGGAUAUGAAGACAGAAGAGCUGAACAUGGAGGAAGGUCCCGCUUGUUGCUGUCAUGGAGCCUAGACUUCCAAGUCAUCUUUACUAGUCGUGCCUUAGACCUAUGUUUUCUUAAUCUUAUUCAGGUUUGUGCUGUGGUUUUACUGAGGUUCUGGCGUAAAGCGGUUUCUGAAUAAAUGGUUUGGGAUUUUGGUGACCUGAUCUUAAGCCUAUGGCCUUGAUGGGAACUUUCUUUUUUCGGUUCCUUCUGUGCUUCUCCUCCUUCCUUUAUCUCCUCCUUAUGCAAGUCAUUUUCACUUUGGACUGUGUACAUAAAGGGCCCAAUAGGAAUAUCUUGGUAGUCCUGGAGAGGCUCCAGGGUCUUAACCACAGUGCUCAUUGUUGGUCUAUGCUUUGGCAUGUGGCUCAUGCACCAGUAAGCCAAUGCAGCAGCCUUUUGAGCCCCUGCUUCUGAGUAUUGGCCUUCAACUCUUGGAUCCAUUAUUCUGGUGAGCUUCCUGGAAUAGUUCAGUUGAGGCCUAGCCCAUUCUGCUAGGUUCUUCUCCCUGUUAGGCCUGGUCUUGUCCAUUGAUCUUCUCCCAGUUAGUAGCUUCAAGAGCACCACUCCAAAGCUGUAAACAUCGCUCAUUGCUGUCAAAUGCCCUGCAAACAAGCAAACUUCUUAUUUGUACUCCAAAGGAAUAUGCCCUUAACAUUCAAUCUAGAUUGGAUUAAACCUUACUGAAUUUCCUGUGAUAAUGUACUCUGGAGCAGCUUACCCUUGUGUCCCCAUGACUCGGGUUGAAACAUGCGUGUCAUCGCCUUCAGGGCCGUCUUUUGCUAAACCAAAAUCUUAUAAUUUGGGAGUAUGAUCCUGAAAAAGGUAUCAACAAAAGGUCAGCGAUCAUAAACAAAGCCAACAAUAAUGCUGAAGUGGAUGAAUUAGAACUCGCCACAGGUAACAGUAUGAUCCCCAUUUUAUAGGCAGCAUGAUACCCAUUUUAUAGCUAACAUGGGAAUUCGUGUUGUUAGGAAUUGGAAGGAACACGAAAGAAAAUCAUCAUUAAUAAGAUUCCUUCUAUUAUUAGCCUGUCAAUGAAACUAAGACAUGUUAUAAGAUCAUAGAUUGUUAGCCCUUGGGGGCUGUCUAACUAUGUUUUGAUGAUAACAACAUAAGAUGAAGUGUACUGAGUUGUUUGAAUUAAGAAAAGUUUCAAGUUUUAUUGAAAAUUUCAAAAGAAAGAUAAAGAUUGUCUAAAAAAAGAUUUGAAGGACACGAAAAAAUGAAUCCUUAAAGAUUUAUAAGGUUUAAGAAAUUUUGUAAGAUGAAUCUCUUGCAUGUGUUUAGGAUUAAACUGAUUUUUAUACACUUUUAAUGCAUUCAUUUAGAUUUAGGCGACAUUUGUUUUUUUAACUUUUUACUGAAAGCAAAUUGCUUUCAGAUUUCAAAUUGUUUAUUUCUUCACUUUUUGUUAAUUUAUUAUUUAUUUAAAAAAAAAUUUUAUUGAAUAGAAAAAGAUAAAAUAUUUGAUUUUUUUUUUUAAAGUUAAAAAUAACAUUGGUUUUUGUUUAUUUUUUAAUACUUAAUAAAAAUGAAAUAUUAAAAAACAAACAACUUGAGUGCAAUUGAAAUCCCAUAUCAAUAUUAAGAUCAAUUUUAAUAAUAUUUAUAAUGUCCAUAUAAUUUUAAAACAUAUUUAUACAAUAAAAAAUGGCCUACUAUAUAUAAUAUGUUAGGAAAAGAAAAUUUUUCUCCACAGAAGUCGAGUUUUACAAAAUCCUACCACAAGUCAAUAAAAAAAGAAAAAUGUUUGACGUAAGUUGAGAUUAGAGUUUGAAAUUACAAGUAAUGCAAGUGUAAAGUUUUCAUUAUGCAUGUUUGUGCAAUUUUCCUUAAAUCUUGAAAGUCACGGAUAACAAAAUAUGACCAUAAUCCACCAAUUCAUACACUAAAAAAUAUCUUCUAUAGAGGGAAUAGUCCUGAACCAUAAAAAAUAUAGAGACAGGCCGGCCAUGGGGUGGGUUCAAUUAUUAUUGAGAUCGCUCAUGGGGUGAAACAAUUUUAUUCUAUGCAACUUGAUUAUUGAGAUGGUGAUGGGGAUAAAAGAAGGUCCACCCUUAAUGUCAGGACAAAGAAGCAUGUUGCCCAUGAUUUUCUGAAAAGCUAAACAUAUUCUAAACAGUACUUCUUGCAAGCCCAAAGACACCAAAGUAGUGCAUCAGAAGAGCUUGGAAAGAGGUGUUGGGUGCUAGGUCAAUUUUUCGAAUAGAUCAAAAGAAAGCUAAAGAUUGUCUAAAAAAGAUUUGAAGGACACCAAAGGAUGAAUCCUUAAAGAUUUAUAAGGUCUAAGAAAUUUUGUAAGAUGAAUCUCUUGCGUGUAUUUAAUAUUAAAUUGAUUUUCAUACAUUUUUAAUGUAUUCAUUUAGACUUAGUUGACGCUUGUUUUUUUAACUUUUUGUUGAAAGCAAAUUACUUUUAGAUUUUAAAUCAUUUAUUUCUUAAAUUUUUUUAUUAAAUAGAAAAUAAUAAAAUAUUUGAUUUUUUCUUAAAGUUAAAAAUAAUAUAUUAGUUUUUAUUUACUUUUUAAUACUUAAUAGAAAUGAAAUAUUUAAAAACAAACAACUUGAGUGCAAUUGAAAUCUCGUAUCAAUAUUAAGAUCAAUUUUAAUACCAUUUAUAAUGUCCAUAUAAUUUUAAAACAUAUUUAUACAAUAAAAAAUGGCAUACUAUAUAUAAUAUGUUAGGAAGAGAAAAUUUUUCUCCAUAGAAGUUGAGUUUCACAAAAUCCUACCACAAGUCAAUAAAAAAAGAAAAAUGUUUGACAUAAGUUGGGAUCAGAGUUUGAAAUUAUAAGUGAUGCAAGUGUAAAGUUUUCAUUAUGCAUGUUUGUACAAUUUUCCUUAAAUCUUGAAAGUUACGGAUAACAAAAUAUGACCAUAAGCCAACAAUUCAUGCACUAAAAAAUAUCUUCUAUAGAGGGAAUAGUCUUGAACCAUAAAAAAUAUAGAGACAGGGCGGACAUGGGCUGGGUUCAAUUAUUAUUGAGAUCGCAGAUGGGAUGAAGCAGUUGUAUUCUAUGCAAACUUGAUUAUUGAGAUGGUGAUGGGGAUAAAAGAAGAUCCACCCUUAAUGUCACGACAAAGGCAUAUUCCAAACAAUACUUCUUGCAAGCCCAAAGACACCAAAGUAGUGCAUCAGAAGAACUUGGAAAGAGGUGUUGGGUGCUAGGUCAAUUUUUCGAAUAGAUUGAAGUAAAAUGUUUGUUUAUGAAAAUUUUUUAAAUACGAAUUGAUAAUGUGAAAGGUACAGUAUUGUUUUAUAUUUAAAUUGAAAGUGUCAAUUUUUUGUUUUUUCUGAUCUCCAUGCAUUACAUAACUCCAUCAGAAAUUCCCGGGGUGAGUAAUAGGAUUUGACGAUAGACUUAAAAAGUCAUCUAUAGACACUUUAUACGUAAUCAUUCUAGAUAACACUUGUAUUCUCUGUAUUACCUGAUAUAAAGUUAAUAGAUGCUCAUUCCUAUAUAUAUAAUGAUAUCUCAAAAGAUUUAAUUUUUUAUUAUAUUUAAUUCUUUUUAUUUUUCUUUAUUGAGUUAUCGAAUUGACUUUAUUUAUUAUUCCACUUUUUAAGAACAAGUGAUAUUGAUGUAAAAGGAUCGGGAUAGAAAUGAUAUUUUGAUUAGAAGCAACUUUGGAAUUGAUUAUUUAGGAUUAUUGACUUAAAGACUAAUGUCAUUUAUAACUUCUACAAUUUUUUAUUUAAAUGUUAUUAUUGAGCUAUUUUAAUUAGUUUUGAAUUUAUUGGUAAUGUAUUAAGCUCUGACAUGUGAAAUGAGUCUGGUACCUUUAGCUUUUGCGUUGGAGACUUUCUAUUGGGUAGGCUUGGCCGAAGUCCCACUCUCAAAUCACUACCAUAAAAGUUGUUUCCUUGUUAGGAGAAAUGUCCAAGAAAAUUGCAGACUGAGGCCCCAUGAACGAGAAAGGAGGUCAAUUAUUGAAGCACUCAUUCAUUUAGUUCUGCUGUGCAACUUCUGUUUAUGCAUCAUCUUUAUAUAAAAGGUUUCAUGGGAGGGCCAAGAGGAGAUACAUAUGAUCAGGCAUGAUAAAAGCAUGGUGUUCCCAUACACUUUAACAUGAUAAACAGGGCAAGGAUUAAUGAGCAUUCUUGUAGUCAUAACAUCAAGAAAUAUCCCCCAAUUGAAAGAGACUAAGGUAGUAUUUAGUUUUUUAACUUAAUACUCAAUGUAAUUUACUUUCAAAAUUUUUAAAUAGAAAAAACAAAAAUAUUUAAUAAUAAUAAAAUAAUAAAAAAUAAAUGAUUUAAUAUUUAAUAGUAUUAAGUUAAAUAAAAUUCCAUUUAAAUUUAAGUAAAAAAGCCAAACACGAAAGUAUUAAACUAUAGUAUCCAAUAUUAGCCUUGGCCAUUAGUUGAGAAGGUUGCUGUUCUCCUCCAUGGAUGCAAUGACAGAUUCUUCUGUGUUAAAUUUAUAAAUGUUUUCUCUCUGCUUUUGUGUCAUCUUGGUGGACACUGGAAGAUCAAGCCAUUUAAGUAAGACAUUUUUAUUGGGUUUUGGUGAGUGAAUGAUAUCUCUGAGUGAUACACCUUUUUUAUUUUUAUUUUUAGCUUUUACCUUAUGUUUAAUUCCUCGAAACUAAGAAGGAAAGCAAUUUUUUUUUUAAAUUAUCUUCUCAUAUUAAUUAUUCUAUAUAAAAUAGGAAAAAAAUCAAAUAUAAUUAAAAUUAAUUAAAAAUUUAUAUAUUUUCAAAUUAUUUAAUCUUAUUUGAAAAGAAUUAAAAAAAAAUAAAAUGAAUUGAAAAUAACAUAUAAAAAUAAUUUAUUAAUAUUAAAUAUAUUUUUAUUUUUUAUUUCCUUCCAUUUUUCUUCUUUACUUUCUUUUUCCCUUCCAAUCAAACAUAAUGUUUUAAGUGUUUAAUAAAAUAUUUAAACUCUUGUAAAUGGUUGAAUAGUACUACCAAAAUGUGAUUCACAUGAGUUCAAUAUAUGCUUUCCACCAGCUUAUUUGCUUAUAAAUAGUCCCCCGUUCCUCAAACUUUCACCACCAUUAAUGGAGGCUCCUUCUUGGGUUGUUUUGGCCCUAGCAUGGCUAGCCUCAGUAGCCCUUCUCUCAAAAGUUUUCAGUUUCCGGCCACCCCACAAGCAAAACCUUCCACCAGGUCCCACACCAUGGCCGAUCAUCGGCAACCUAAACCUCAUUGGCCAUCUCCCCCACCGGUCCCUCCACAAACUGUCCCAAAAAUAUGGACAAAUAAUGGAGCUUCGAUUUGGGUCUUUCCCAGUUGUAGUGGCCUCAUCUUCAGAAAUGGCAAAGCAGUUCUUAAAGACAAACGAUCACCUCUUUGCCUCCAGGCCUCACACUGCUGCCGGCAAGUACAUUACUUAUAACUACUCCAACAUCACCUGGGCUCCUUACGGUCCAUACUGGCGCCAAGGGCGUAAAAUCUUCCUCACAGAGCUGUUCAGCUCGAAAAGGCUCGCGUCUUAUGAGUACAUUCGGGUUGAAGAAAGGCAGGCUUUCAUCUCCCGCCUCUACGCAUUGUCAGGAAAGCCAGUCAUGCUUAAAGAACAUCUCUCUCGCGUUACUCUCGGCGUUAUAAGCAGAAUUGUACUGGGGGAGAAGUACUUCAGUGAGUUCGAAUCCGGGAGGUCGAUGUUGACGGUGGAAGAGUGUCAGAAGAUGCUGGGUGAGUUGUUCUUGCUUAAUGGUGUGUUGAAUAUUGGGGAUUGGAUACCGUGGAUUGCAUUCUUGGACUUGCAGGGGUAUGUGAAGAGGAUGAAGGCUUUGCGCGAUAAAUUUGAUAGGUUUUAUGAUCAUGUGCUUGAGAAACACAGGGCCAGAAGAGAAGCAGAGGACUUUGUGGCUAAGGACAUGGUGGAUAUGCUUCUGAGAUUGGCUGAUGAUCCUGAUGUUGAGGUUAAGCUCACUACUGAUGGGAUCAAAGGGUUUACACAGGUUAGUGUUAUUUGAGUUCAUGAACAUAUCCAACCAUUCAAAUUAGGCCUGUUCUAUUGAAACCUCAUGAUAAUUUUGCUUGUUUUGUUGUUUCAUGGUCAGGACCUAAUAGCUGGUGGUACAGAUACCUCAGCUACUACUCUGGAAUGGGCGAUGUCCGAGGUCUUGAGGCAGCCAAACAUAGCUAAAAAGGCAACUGAAGAGCUGGAUAGAGUUAUAGGGAGAGAUAGAUGGGUGGAGGAGAAAGACAUUGCCCAACUUCCUUACAUAGAUGCAAUUGUGAAGGAGACAAUGAGGCUACACCCUAUUGUUGUCCUGCUGGCACCUCACCUGGCUCUUCAAGAUUGCAAUGUAGCUGGCUAUGAUAUUCGCAGAGGAACCCGAGUCCUAGUAAACACAUGGAGCAUAGGGAGGGACCCCAACAUAUGGGAUGCACCCGAGGAAUUUCGACCAGAGAGGUUCCUAGGGAAGGCAAUUGAUGUGAAGGGACAAAGCUUUGAGCUGCUGCCAUUUGGUUCAGGGCGGAGGAUGUGCCCUGGAUACAGCCUUGGCCUAAAGAUGAUUCAAUCGAGCUUGGCUAACAUGUUGCAUGGAUUCCACUGGAAAUUGCCUUGGGAUAUGAAGACAGAAGAGCUGAACAUGGAGGAAGUUUUUGGACUGACAACUCCAAGGAAGGUCCCACUUGUUGCUGUCAUGGAGCCUAGACUCCAAAACCAUCUUUACUAGUCGUGCCUUAGACCUAUGUUUUUGAAGAUGAUCGGAAAAGUGUCCUUCUAGCUCGAUUGCAUGGGCUGGUUUUUAUAUAACAGGGUUGCCUGGCCAUGUGGUAGGCUGGUCAGUCAUUUUCCUGCCUUUUACAAGAAUACAAAAAUGCCUUUUGACUAAUAGGCAAAGGCAGUCAGCUUUCCAUCAAGCGUUUGGUGUGUUAUUAGUUCACCUCGUCAGGUAUUCUUCUUGGAGGGUAGCACGUUGGGGAUGUACUGCUUUUUGGCACCUCCAGUUUUAUUAAUAUUAUUCAGUUGUGUGUAAUGGUUUUGAUCCGUUAAUUGUAUUUCUUCUGUUCUCUAUCCAUGAAUGCAUUAGUGGCUUGCUUAAUUAAUAACAAACCUUUGAAAAAUGAGGUUACUGAUGUUGUCAAAGGAUACACAUAAUUGUAUUUAGACACAUGGCAGAGUGAUCCCUGUAUAAGAAACAAAAUAAGGAAUAUGGGAGUUUAUAGAGAUACGACACCUCGUACACUACUACAUCUCAUCUUCAUCAACCCUAGACCUUUAUCACCUUUUAACAUGUCGGCAUGCUGCAUGCCACUUCUAAUUUUGUUGGUGAAUAAAGCGUAUGUGAUUCUAUUGGAUGAUUAGCUUCUUAUUGUCAAAAAGGCGCAAAAAAUAUCUUACAGUAAGCAAAAAAGAUUAUCGACAGGCUGCCAUGCAUAUCAUAUGCUUAAAACAUUCUUGUCCUUAUUCAAAUUCAGUCACUUUCCUUAAUCUUUCAUCAAUCUAAUUUCUUCCUUAAGUGCUAUUCCAACAACCCUAUCUUAUCUUAAAUUUAGAGACAUUUAUAUAAUUUGAAAUUUUAAAAAGGCUUUUUUUUAAAAAUAAAUAUUUAUAUAAUUUUAAAAUUUUGUGAGAAAACAAAUGAGAUAUUUUCAUUAUUUUGGUCUUUGCAAUCACCCACUAUCUUUAUUUAUUUCCCAUAUUAUAAAAAAUUGAAAAGAUAAAAUAAAGAAAAUAAAUACAGAAAGUCUUCAAAGAACAGAUUACUUUGUUGUACCAUUUAAAAGUAAGAGUCUAACCUUGAUCCAUCUUUAUAUAUGUAAAUUAAAAUUCUAAAUAUAAUUUAGGUGGUGAUAAAUUUUAUUUCAAAUUUAAAAACUUAGGAGUAUUUACAAAUGUUCAUCAUAAAAUAAAAGAAAAAUAAAAGGAAAGUAAAGAGGCAAGAUGGAGAUGGGGAAAAAAAUUAGGGAAAAUAAUAAUAAUAAUAAUAAUAAUAAUAAUAAUAAUAAUAAUAAUAAUUAAAUAGACAUAGGAAAAUAAUUUUUAGAGUUUUAGUUUAAAUAAAUAAUUGAAAAAAAUGGAUUAUAAAUAUAAUUGAUAAUAAGAGUUUUAUAUAAAUUGGCAAUUUCCUAUAGAUGAAAAUAAUAUUACUUAUAUAGAAAAUUAGGAAUUAGAGUAUUAAUAAUUACAUCAAAGAGAAUAAUAUUAAUGCAAAUGGUAUCAAGAACGUCAAAUACUAAUUUUUAAUUUUUGAUAAAUAGCCGAUUGAAAUAAUUAUUCUUUGAACUAUGUUAUGUUAUGUGUGGAUUAAGUUCUUUAUGAUCAAGUAAUGUUUUUAUGAAAUGUAUUAUGAUUUUAAAUUGGGAAUUUCGAUCAUAUGAUUUAUUGAUCAUUGUGUAAGUGGAUUUUAGUUUAUAAUUUAUUAUAAUGACUUUGAAAUUUUGAUUAUUAGUGGUCUUGCUCAAUAGAGUAUAAAUUAUUAACCUUCGUUACCCUUGAUAGGGGGUAGUGAUGCUAUGCAAUCCUAACCAAUAAGAUGCUAUUAACCUUUGGUAUGCUAUUGAUUGAAUGUUGAUGGGGGAACAAAAUGAAGCUACCCAUCUAGUGCAAAUUCCAUUAUUUGGUUAUAGUGUUAUUAUCAGCGAAAUAGAGUAAAAUAUUUAUUUAUAAAAUCAUUUUGAACAUGAACUUCUACUAUUAAGUGUAUUAUAUUGUUUUAUACUUUUUGAAGUGUCAAUUUUUUUUCAAAAAAAAAAUGUAAACUUAAUUAUUAAAUUAAAUGAGUAGAUUUUUCUUAUUGACUUAUUUUUUCUUAUCGUGUUAAAUAUCGAAUUCACUCUUUUUUUAUAAUUCCACUUUUCAAUUACAAGUGAUGCCAAUGAAGAGAGAUUGUAAUAUAAUUAAGAGUGUUUUUAUUAUAAACAGUUUUGAAAUAGAUAUUGUUUAUGAUUAUUAACUUAAGACUAAUUGUAGUUGUAACUUCUAAAAAUUAAAUUUUAUAGAAUCAUUGAAGUCAUCGUUGAGAUAUUUUAAUUAUUUUUGGUUUUGCUAGUCAACUUAAUUUAUGUAUUAAGUUAUUGGAUUUGACAUGUGAAAUGGCUGUGAUGCUCUUAGCCUUCGGGUUCGAGGUAUCAGAGCCAUUGUCAUCACUUCACGGCCUUCCAACUGGGUAGGCUUGCUCGAAGUCACACCCUCAAAUCACUAGCAUGAAAGCUAGCUUUUACCUUGUUAGGUGAACCGGCUUAGGAAACUGUAAACUGAGAUCCAAUCAAUAAGCAAGAAGUUCAAUUAUUGAAGUUCUUAUUCAUUUGAGUGCUCUUCGACUACUUUAUGUAAAAAAUUUCAUGAAAGGGCCAAGAGGAUAUACAUAUGAUCAGGCAUGGAUGAUGCUUGGUGAUCCCAUACAGUACUCUCACGUGAUAUACGGGCCAAGGAUUAACGAGUAUUCUUGUAGUAAUAACGUUAAGAUAUGAACCCUAAUGGAAAUACUAACUAGAACACGCACGAAAGUAUUAAGCUAUGGUAUCCAUUAGCAUUGGCCAUUAGUUGAAGGUUGCAGUCCUCUAUAGAUCUCCAUUAAUGAUUCUUUUGUGUUAAAUUUAUAAAUGUUUUCUCCAUACUUUUGUGUCAUAUUGGUGGACCCUGGAAGAUCCGUCCUUACAACCAGCCAUAUCAGUAAGACAUUUUUAUUGGGUUUCUGGUAAAUAAAUAUUAGCAUAAAUUGGAAGGCGGUGGCUGUCCAUUUCUGCAGUGAUACACCAUUGUCUUUUUUAAGCUUUUAGUAUUUAAUAAAAUAUUCAAGCUUUUGUAAAUGGUUGAAUAACACUAUCAACAUGUGAUUCACAUGAGUUUAAUAUGUGAUUUCAACCAUGGCCAAUCAUGGGCAACCUAAACCUCAUUGGCCAUCUCCCCCACCGGUCCCUCCACAAACUGUCCCAAAAAUAUGGACAAAUAAUGGAGCUUCGAUUUGGGUCUUUCCCAGUUGUAGUGGCCUCAUCUUCAGAAAUGGAAAAGCAAUUCUUAAAGACAAACGAUCACCUCUUUGCCUCCAGGCCUCACACUGCUGCCGGAAAGUACACUAAUUAUAACUACUCCAACAUCACCUGGGCUCCUUACGGUCCAUACUGGCGCCAAGGGCGUAAAAUCUUCCUCACAGAGAUGUUCAGCUCGAAAAGGCUCGAGUCUUAUGAGUACAUUCGGGUUGAAGAAAGGCAGGCUUUCAUCUCCCGCCUCUACGCAUUGUCAGGAAAGCCAGUCAUGCUUAAAGAACAUCUCUCUCGCGUUACUCUCAGCGUUAUAAGCAGAAUUGUACUGGGGGAGAAGUACUUCAGUGAGU